rnacentral:rRNA from 1 species
GACGAACGCUGGCGGCGUGCCUAAUACAUGCAAGUUGAGCGCUGAAGGUUGGUACUUGUACCGACUGGAUGAGCAGCGAACGGGUGAGUAACGCGUGGGGAAUCUGCCUUUGAGCGGGGGACAACAUUUGGAAACGAAUGCUAAUACCGCAUAAAAACUUUAAACACAAGUUUUAAGUUUGAAAGAUGCAAUUGCAUCACUCAAAGAUGAUCCCGCGUUGUAUUAGCUAGUUGGUGAGGUAAAGGCUCUCCAAGGCGAUGAUACAUAGCCGACCUGAGAGGGUGAUCGGCCACAUUGGGACUGAGACACGGCCCAAACUCCUACGGGAGGCAGCAGUAGGGAAUCUUCGGCAAUGGACGAAAGUCUGACCGAGCAACGCCGCGUGAGUGAAGAAGGUUUUCGGAUCGUAAAACUCUGUUGGUAGAGAAGAACGUUGGUGAGAGUGGAAAGCUCAUCAAGUGACGGUAACUACCCAGAAAGGGACGGCUAACUACGUG